rfam:Oryza rufipogon genomic scaffold, chr01
CGUAAAAAAAAACCUGGGUUUCCGUGUCCAACGUUUAACUAUACGUCUUAUAUGAAAUUUUUUUAUAAUUAGUAUUUUCAUUGUUGUUAGAUGAUAAAACAUGAUUAACACUUUAUGCGAGACUUGUAUUUUUAAUUUUUUUUCAUAUUUUUUUUAAAUAAGACAGACGGUCAAAUAUUGGACACGGAAACCCAGGGUUUGUCUUUUU